UGCGAGUUCGCGGGAGAGUAAGUUAUUGCCAGGGUUUUUAUUUUAUACUUUAAACAUUGAUUUUAUUUUUUAUGUUUUUAGAUGUUCAUAUUUUUGAAUGUUUUAUUCAAAUAAUAUAAAAAAUAAAAUAUAUAUUGACAUGGAUUAAACAAAGAUAUAUAUUAUUCUAUGUUGUAUAAACAAAUUGGCAAAAUAGAGAUGGAAGAUAAAAAUAUGGUCAAAGUAAUAAGAGUCUAUGGUGAAUGCCUAGGAGC
rnacentral:misc_RNA from 1 species